GGGCUUGAACUCACGAACUGUGAGAUCGUGACCUGAGCCCACAUCAAGAGUUGGAUGCUUAACCCGACUGAACCGCCCAGGCACCCCUGGCACUAGUGAUCCUGUUAGGACUUGCUUUCUAGUCAAGAAGAGACACCCCAAUCAAAUGAUUCACAAAUUCACCAAAUAGGUAGUGAACUAACUAUGUUAUAAACGUCGUGGGUGCUAUGAAGAAACCUGGCCUUGUCUGGGGUGUCACGGAACUCCAUGACCCUAAGAAAUGAAACCUGAGGUGAUGGGAAGAAUUGGAGAGUUGUUUAAGCAGUGGUGUGUAAAGGGAACAUUCCUGAGCGAGGGAAGAACAGGCCUAAGAGAAUGAGAAUACAGUAUGUCUGAAUGCAUUACCCGAAGGCCCGCAAAUGAGGGAGAGAGUGGUAAGAGCUGAAGCCGAAGAGAUAGCGAGCGGCCCGAGACUUCCAGGCCUACCUGUCCAUGGAAAAGUGAAUUUUCCUGGGAACAGUGUGGAGGCACCUGCAGGUUUUAUGUAAGUUCAUACUUCAGUUAGACGACUUGGGCUGUAAGGACGUGGAUGAUGGAUUAAAGCAGGAGCCACGCAGGAGACAGGGAGACUAUUUUGGAGACUGUUAGAAUAGACUGAGCAAUUCACGGUGGUGGUCUCAACGGGGAUGGAAGAGAAAAGUGGGUGGGUUGUGUGAUCCUGGGUAAGUAGCUUCCCCUCUCCGAGGCUAAUUAGGCUCAUUUCUUUCAGGUUUGGACUGUCCUAUCUAGUGACUGAGAGUGGGCUUUGCCUCUCAGAUAAUCUGCUACCUGUCACCUCCCUUUAGAUGUCGAGUAUUCAACAAAACCACCUGUGCACAGUUGAUAGGAAGGAAAAACAGAGCUAGCUUGGAAGUCUCUAGAAUUGUGUUUAUUGCAGUUCAUUGGGGCUGGUGGUCUGUAUGAGUUGUACAUUUUUGUGAUAAAAAAUUGGCUUCGAAAUGAAUGAAGGAACAUUGACAUAACACACACCUGUUAUUCUUUUCACUCUAAAGUGCUAAGCAAAGCAGCCAACAGAAGUCUCAACGCCCCCCCCCCCCCCCACAACAUUCUGCGGUAAUUAAAUACAACUACACUUAUUUAGGAAACUGAUAACAGUAAGUAGAAAUUUAGUGCCAGCGAUCUGAGAAGAAACAGGCCCAGACUGCCAUUUGUUCCCAGAGUUGCAAACAGUUCCAACCAAAAUUAAGGGGGUACGUUUCUUGCCAGCUCAUCAUACUACGCUUCAUAAUAGGUUUGCUCAGUGUCCAGUAAGGAACAAAUGACUCUGUGAGUGAAGAUUUUGAUUGUAGGUAUUCAAACAACAUUCCCAGGGAGGCUAGGCAGACACCGAAUGGAUGCCUAAGCCUUCCAAAUGGUUUAGUUCCAUUUGUUUGGUAUCUGUUGUGGUGCAAGUUCUCUGGGCAAUGCCCUGUGGGAGACAUGUUCAGGGAAGGCACUGGUGGGAUUUUGGCAAGCAAACGAAUAUUGCUUAGAAUAUAGAAGAGUUGAAUAACAAACCUGAUCCAUAGGAUAUGUAUAGAUGAGAGAAUAGAACGAUUGGAAGACAAAAAUUAUUUUCCAACAAAUAGGGCAUGUGUACAAAGAUUGAACUUGUAUUGAGCCUUUAAGGAAACCUCUCUAAUCUGGUAUCGUAUAGACCAGGUUAUCUGACAAAAAUGCAAUAGUGUGUGAUAUCCACAACUAUGAAACAGAUUAAAGGAAAAAAAAAAAGCCUUAUUGUCCUCUCAGUAGGUACAGAAAUCACUCAGGAGUCUCCAGCAAGCAUGUAUGAUUAAGAACAAACAACAAAGCCACUUAACAAACGAGAAAUAGACCCUUCAUUGAUGAAGGCUGUCUGCUAAAACUCUACAGCAAAUAUUAUGUUUAAUGACAAUAUAUUAGAUGUCCAUAUGUCUCUCUGAAGUCAGGAACAAGACUGACAAGAAACCCCUCAAUCACCAUUUUUAUUCAGUAUUAUAAAUGAAAUCCUAACUAGCUCAUUGGGAAAAGAUAAAGAUAAGGUUUCAAAGUAUACUGUUAUUUUCACAGAUGACACGGUUGUCUGCCCAGAUACUAUAAGAGUACAUGCAGACACUAAUAGAACAAAUACAGAGUUCAGCAAGUUUUCUGGAUAUGGGAUCAAUAUAUAAAAAUGAGUCGUGCCCCUCUACAAUAGUAAGAACCUAGGAGAACAUGUUAUAAAAGACAAAUGCUAAAAACCGACAUGGCAUCCCAAAUUGUGCAUUGCUAUCUCUUUUUCCCACCUCUUAUUUUGUUUCAGGUCUUAAGUUGUUUUUCCAGAAUUUUCCUUGCUUUCCCCCCCAUUGAGCUUGGGCCAUAAGGUUGGUUCUUCCUUUCAGCUGGGCCCUCAGAAAAGACAUGAACCAAUUUAAAACAAAGAACAAAGGGAGAGGGAACAGGGUCAUUGGAAAGAACUUAGAGAAUGGCCCCUUGCAGUGGUUCCUCUCCCAAAUUUGUAGCGAUGUCGAUGUAGCCACUGCUAUGGAAAUUGAAAGCCCAUUAGAGAAUGUCUUCUCUCACUUGAGUGUAUUCAAGCAAGAAGUUCACCAAAGUUACUUUCCUUUUAAACCAACCCCUUUGACUUUUAAAAGCUAUUUUGGAAACGUUCAAGGAAAAGAAGUAUUAAAAAAAAAAAAGAAGAAGAAAAAGGAAGACCAAAAGUAAAUGUAAACACUUCAAGACUUUCACAAAUAAAUAAACCAUUUAAAGCCUCGAGUUCCUGUGAUUAGAGUCAUAGAAUAGAGGGAAGGCAUUCAUCUGAAAAAUGAACCUUUGAGAAAUCAUUGCAAGAGGAAUCUUUGAAAGUUGUUGAUGAUUUAGUAAAAAGAGAUCUUGACGAUUAUAGAAAUGAAUAUUUAGAUGGCCGUGGAUCAAUUUCACCUGGAGAAUCCAUUACAGAGGAUACAUGCUAUCUUUAGUAUGCAGAUGAAUGUGAUAUCAAGUUGGUGGAAGAUAGUUCUUUCAGAAUAAGUACUGAAUUACUCAAGAGUAUGAGCCUAUCUCUAAAACAAGAGGAAAUUGGUGAAGAAGCUGCUUUGUCUAUCAAGCAGAGAUCUUCAAAAUGAAAGAUGAAAAAAAAAUUAGUGACUCCUAAUAAACCUUCCCUCUCAAAAAAAAAAAAAAAAGAUGAAAGAACUAUGG